rnacentral:rRNA from 1 species
AUUGAACGCUGGCGGAAUGCUUUACACAUGCAAGUCGAACGGCAGCACGGGGGCAACCCUGGUGGCGAGUGGCGAACGGGUGAGUAAUACAUCGGAACGUGCCCAGUCGAGGGGGAUAACGUAGCGAAAGUUACGCUAAUACCGCAUACGAUCUACGGAUGAAAGCGGGGGACCGUAAGGCCUCGCGCGAUUGGAGCGGCCGAUGUCAGAUUAGGUAGUUGGUGAGGUAAAGGCUCACCAAGCCGACGAUCUGUAGCUGGUCUGAGAGGACGACCAGCCACACUGGGACUGGGACACGGCCCAGACUCCUACGGGAGGCAGCAGUGGGGAAUUUUGGACAAUGGGCGCAAGCCUGAUCCAGCCAUUCCGCGUGCAGGACGAAGGCCUUCGGGUUGUAAACUGCUUUAGUACGGAACGAAAAGGCUCUGGUUAAUACCUGGGGCUCAUGACGGUACCGUAAGAAUAAGCACCGGCUAACUACGUGCCAGCCGCCGCCAUAA